rnacentral:rRNA from 1 species
UACGUAGGGUGCGAGCGUUGUCCGGAAUUAUUGGGCGUAAAGAGCUUGUAGGCGGUCUGUCGCGUCUGCUGUGAAAAUCCGGGGCUCAACCCCGGGCCUGCAGUGGGUACGGGCAGACUAGAGUGCGGUAGGGGAGACUGGAAUUCCUGGUGUAGCGGUGAAAUGCGCAGAUAUCAGGAGGAACACCGGUGGCGAAGGCGGGUCUCUGGGCCGUAACUGACGCUGAGGAGCGAAAGCGUGGGGAGCGAACAGG